GACGAACGCUGGCGGCGUGCUUAACACAUGCAAGUCGAACGGAAAGGCCCUGCUUGCAGGGUGCUCGAGUGGCGAACGGGUGAGUAACACGUGGGUAAUCUGCCCCUUACUUUGGGAUAAGCCUGGGAAACUGGGUCUAAUACUGGAUAGGACCAUGCUGUAGGUGGUGUGGUGGAAAGAUUAGUUUCGGUAAGGGAUGAGCUUGCGGCCUAUCAGCUUGUUGGUGGGGUAAUGGCCUACCAAGGCGUCGACGGGUAGCCGGCCUGAGAGGGUGGACGGCCACAUUGGGACUGAGAUACGGCCCAGACUCCUACGGGAGGCAGCAGUGGGGAAUAUUGCACAAUGGGCGCAAGCCUGAUGCAGCGACGCCGCGUGGGGGAUGACGGCCUUCGGGUUGUAAACUCCUUUCAGCCAUGACGAAGCCCUUGUGGUGACGGUAGUGGUAGAAGAAGCACCGGCUAACUACGUG
rnacentral:rRNA from 1 species